UACGUAGGUGGCAAGCGUUGUCCGGAUUUAUUGGGUUUAAAGGGUGCGUAGGCGGCUUAUUAAGUCAGUGGUGAAAUACUCUAGCUCAACUAGAGGGGUGCCAUUGAUACUGAUGAGCUUGAGUACAGAUGAGGUAGGCGGAAUUGACGGUGUAGCGGUGAAAUGCUUAGAUAUCGUCAAGAACACCUAUAGCGAAGGCAGCUUACUAGGCCGUAACUGACGCUGAGGCACGAAAGUGUGGGGGAUCAAACAGG
rnacentral:rRNA from 1 species